AUUCGGCUGACCAGUCCCAAACAGGACGAAACGCGAGUCCUGGAU
rfam:Schistosoma curassoni strain Dakar, Senegal genome assembly, scaffold: SCTD_scaffold0000161